GCCUAAAGGGGCCGUAGCUUGAUAAUAGGGUCCCUUGAGAAAUCCGCCGGCUUAACUGGCGGGCGUUCAGGGGAAACUUGUUUUCUAGGGACCGGGAGAGGUGAGGGGUACUGCCGGGGUAGGAGUGAAAUCCUGUAAUCCCGGUGGGACCACCUAUGGCGAAGGCAUCUCACCAGAACGGGUCCGACAGUGAGGGACGAAAGCUGGGGGAGCAAACCGGAUUAGAUACCCGGGUAGUCCCAGCUGUAAACUAUGUGCGUUAGGUGUGUCAGUGACCACGUGUCACUGAGGUGCCGAAGGGAAACCGUGAAACGCACCGCCUGGGGAGUACGGUCGCAAGGCUGAAACUUAAAGGAAUUGGCGGGGGAGCACCACAACGGGUGGAGCCUGCGGUUUAAUCGGACUCAACGCCGGGAAUCUCACCGGAUAAGACAGCUGAAUGAUAGUCGGGAUGAAGACUCUACUUGACUAGCUGAGAGGAGGUGCAUGGCCGUCGUCAGUUCGUACUGUGAAGCAUCCUGUUUAGUCAGGCAACGAGCGGGACCCACGCGAGCAGUUGCCAGCUUGACCUUCGGGUUGAUGGGGACACUGCUCGGACCGCCUCUGCUAAAGGGGAGGAAGGACUGGGCAACGGUAGGUCAGCAUGCCCCGAAUUAUCCGGGCUACACGCGGGCUACAAUGGACAGGACAAUGAGUUUCGACACCGAGAGGUGAGGAUAAUCUUCUAACCCUGUCCCAAGUUCGGAUUGCGGGUUGUAACUCACCCGCAUGAAGCUGGAAUCCGUAGUAAUCGCGUUUCAACAUACCGCGGUGAAUAUGUCCCUGCUCCUUGCACUCACCGCCCGUAA
rnacentral:rRNA from 1 species